UACGAAGGGGGCUAGCGUUGCUCGGAAUUACUGGGCGUAAAGCGCACGUAGGCGGCUUCUUAAGUCGGUGGUGAAAUCCUGGAGCUCAACUCCAGAACUGCCUUCGAUACUGAGAAGCUCGAGUCCGGGAGAGGUGAGUGGAACUGCGAGUGUAGAGGUGAAAUUCGUAGAUAUUCGCAAGAACACCAGUGGCGAAGGCGGCUCACUGGCCCAUUACUGACGCUGAGGUGCGAAAGCGUGGGGAGCAAACAGG
rnacentral:rRNA from 1 species